rnacentral:lncRNA from 13 species
CACAGACACACUACACUGUCUCCUGUCACCCAGGAGAAUCCCUGCCCACAAAUGACAGACCUGCAGUUUCAGUCCAGAGACACCAGACAGGGUUCCUAGGAUCACAGAAAAUAACCUCUAUAAUGGCAGGAGAACUGAGGAAUUACGGAACGGGAUCAUUAGCUAAAGAAAGUCCCUUAAAGUUAAAUAACUUCAGUGGACAUCUGGUUUACCAAGUAGCAUGCGCCUGAGAGGACACUUAGCCCAUAAAGCUUUGAGAGUGAAAAGAACCAAGAAGCUAUGAAGAUGUGGAUGAGAACCAGGGUUGAAGGUGGUAGAGUAAAACCUCCACAGAGACUGGUUCAGCUGGAUAGAGUCAACUAUCUGUGUCUAUGACAGAGUUUGCUGAGAAUGAUGGUUUCCAGAUUCAUCCAUGUCUGUACAAUGGACAUGAACUCAACAUUUUUUAUGGCUGCAUAGUAUUCCAUGGUAUAUAUGUGCCACAUUUUCCUUGUCCAGUCUAUCUGAUAAUAGAUGUCUCAGUCUAUCUGAGAAUAAAAUACCUAGGAAUACAACUAACAAAGGAUGUAAAGGAUCUCUUCAAGGAGAACUACAAACCACGCUCAAGGAAAUAAGAGGACACAAACAGACAAAAAUCAUUCCAUGUUCAUGGUUAGGAUCUGAUGAUCAAUGGGCAUUUGGAUUGGUUCCAGGUCUUUGCUGUUGUAAACAUUGCUGCAAUGAACAUACAUGUGCAUGUGUCUUUAUAAUAGAAUGAUUUAUAAACUUUUGGAUAUAUACCCAGUAAUGGGAUUGCUGGUUCAAAUGGAGUUUCCAUUUCUAGGACCUUGAGGAAUCACCACACUGUCUUCCAUAAUGGUCGAACUAACUUACAUUACCACCAACAGUGUAAAACUGUUCCUAUUUCUCCACACCCUCUUCAGCAUCUGUUGUCUCCAAAUUUUUUUUAAUGAUCGCUAUUCUAACUGGUGUGAGAUGGUAUCUCAAUGUGGUUUUGAUUUGCAUUUCUCUAAUGACCAGUGAUGACGAACAUUUUUUCAUAUGUUUGUUGGCCUCAUAAAUGUCUUCUUUUGAAAAGUGACCGUUC